AUUGAACGCUGGCGGCAGGCCUAACACAUGCAAGUCGAACGGUAACAGGAAGAAGCUUGCUUCUUUGCUGACGAGUGGCGGACGGGUGAGUAAUGUCUGGGAAACUGCCUGAUGGAGGGGGAUAACUACUGGAAACGGUAGCUAAUACCGCAUAACGUCGCAAGACCAAAGAGGGGGACCUUCGGGCCUCUUGCCAUCGGAUGUGCCCAGAUGGGAUUAGCUAGUAGGUGGGGUAACGGCUCACCUAGGCGACGAUCCCUAGCUGGUCUGAGAGGAUGACCAGCCACACUGGAACUGAGACACGGUCCAGACUCCUACGGGAGGCAGCAGUGGGGAAUAUUGCACAAUGGGCGCAAGCCUGAUGCAGCCAUGCCGCGUGUAUGAAGAAGGCCUUCGGGUUGUAAAGUACUUUCAGCGGGGAGGAAGGGAGUAAAGUUAAUACCUUUGCUCAUUGACGUUACCAGCAGAAGAAGCACCGGCUAACUCCGUG
rnacentral:rRNA from 1 species